GAUGAAGAACGCAGCGAAAUGCGAUACGUAAUGUGAAUUGCAAAUUCAGUGAAUCAUCGAGUCUUUGAACGCACAUUGCGCCCCCUGGUAUUCCGGGGGGCAUGCCUGUCCGAGCGUCAUUGCUGCCCUCAAGCACGGCUUGUGUGUUGGGCCCCGUCCUCCGAUCCCGGGGGACGGGCCCGAAAGGCAGCGGCGGCACCGCGUCCGGUCCUCGAGCGUAUGGGGCUUUGUCUCCCGCUCUGUAGGCCCGGCCGGCGCUUGCCGAUCAACCCAAAUUUUUAUCCAGGUUGACCUCGGAUCAGGUAGGGAUACCCGCUGAACUUAAGCAUAUCAAUAAGCGGAGGA
rnacentral:misc_RNA from 1 species